rnacentral:rRNA from 1 species
GGAAGAAAAAAGUGGGGGGAGGGGAGGUCGUUCAAAACUGCCUGGCUAGAUGGAAACAGAAAGAGGUGGAAUUCCCGGUGUAGUGGUGAAAUGCGUAGAUAUCGGGAGGAACACCAGUGGCGAUCGCGGCCACAUGGGUCGCCCCUGACGCUCAGACGCGAAAGCUAGGGGAGCGAACGGGAUUAGAUACCCCGGUAGUCCUAGCCCUAAACGAUGGGCACUAGGUAGAGGGCGUUCCGAUACCUUCUCUGCCGAAGCUAACGUAAUUAGUGCCCCGCCUGGGGAGUAUAGUCGCAAGGCUGAAACUCAAAGGAAUUGACGGGGGCUCACACAAGCGGUGGAGCAUGUUGUUCAAUUCUAUUCUUUUCAAAGAGCCUUACCUGGAUUUGACAUGCUUGGGACCGCCUAUGAAAGUAGGCUUUCUCUUUGAGAACCCUUGCACAGGUGUUGCAUGGCUGUCCUCAUCUCCUGCCCUGAGAUGUCGGGUUAAAUCCC